rnacentral:rRNA from 1 species
UACAGAGGGUGCGAGCGUUACUCGGAAUUACUGGGCGUAAAGCGUGCGCAGGCGGUUCGUUGUGUCGGCGGUGAAAGCCCCGGGCUUAACCUGGGAAUGGCCGUUGAAACUGGCGAACUGGAGUGUGGCAGAGGGGGGUGGAAUUCCGCGUGUAGCAGUGAAAUGCGUAGAGAUGCGGAGGAACACCGAUGGCGAAGGCAGCCCCCUGGGCUAACACUGACGCUCAGGCACGAAAGCGUGGGGAGCAAACAGG